GCCCGGGUGGCGAAAUUGGCAGACGCGCCAGACUUAGGAUCUGGAGCCCGCAAGGGCGUGGAGGUUCGAGUCCUCUCCCGGGCACCA
rnacentral:tRNA from 1 species